GGCCUGGUGGUGUAACGGUAACAUGCCUGCUUCGCUUUGUGGAGCUGUAAACACCUUUCGGCGGGAGAUCCUUGUUCGAUCCAAGGCUGGGCCA